rnacentral:rRNA from 1 species
AGUGAACGCUGGCGGUAGGCCUAACACAUGCAAGUCGAACGGCAGCACAGUAAGAGCUUGCUCUUACGGGUGGCGAGUGGCGGACGAGUGAGGAAUACAUCGGAAUCUACUUUUUCGUGGGGGAUAACGUAGGGAAACUUACGCUAAUACCGCAUACGACCUACGGGUGAAAGCAGGGGAUCUUCGGACCUUGCGCGAUUGAAUGGGCCGAUGUCGGAUUAGCUAGUUGGCGGGGUAAAGGCCCACCAAGGCGACGAUCCGUAGCUGGUCUGAGAGGAUGAUCAGCCACACUGGAACUGAGACACGGUCCAGACUCCCACGGGAGGCAGCAGUGGGGAAUAUUGGACAAUGGGCGCAAGCCUGAUCCAGCCAUACCGCGUGGGUGAAGAAGGCCUUCGGGUUGUAAAGCCCUUUUGUUGGGAAAGAAAAGCAGCAGGUUAAUACCCCGCUGUUCUGACGGUACCCAAAGAAUAAGCACCGGCUAACUUCGUG